rnacentral:rRNA from 1 species
UACGGAGGGAGCGAGCGUUGUCCGCAGUUACUGGGCGUAAAGCGCGCGUAGGCGGGAAAUUAAGUGAGAAGUGAAAGGCUGGGGCUCAACCCCAUGCAGUGCUCCUCAUACUGGUUUUCUUGAGGGUGGUAGAGAGAAGUGGAAUGGCUGGUGUAGCGGUGAAAUGCGUAGAUAUCAGUCGGAACACCAGUGGCGAAGGCGGCUUCUUGGGCCAUUACUGACGCUGAGGCGCGAAAGCGUGGGGAGCGAACCGG